GAGAUGUGGGUAGUCCGUACGAGCGCACCUUGUCCUUAGUUGCCAGCACGUAAUGGUGGGAACUCUAAGGAGACUGCCGGUGACAAACCGGAGGAAGGUGGGGACGACGUCAAGUCAUCAUGGCCCUUACGACCUGGGCUACACACGUGCUACAAUGGAACGCACAGAGGGCUGCAAAGGCGCGAGCUGGAGCGAAUCCCACAAAACGUUUCGUAGUCCGGAUUGGAGUCUGCAACUCGACUCCAUGAAGUCGGAAUCGCUAGUAAUCGUGAAUCAGAAUGUCACGGUGAAUACGUUCCCGGGCCUUGUACACACCGCCCGUCACACCAUGGGAGUGGGUUGCAAAAGAAGUGGGUAGACUAACCUUCGGGAGGUCGCUCACCACUUUGUGAUUCAUGACUGGGGUGAAGUCGUAACAAGGUAGCCCUAGGGGAACCUGGGGCUGGAUCACCUCCUU
rnacentral:rRNA from 1 species